rnacentral:rRNA from 1 species
GUUAGGAAUAUUGGACAAUGGGCGAAAGCCUGAUCCAGCCAUGCCGCGUGAACGAUGAAGGCCUUCGGGUUGUAAAGUUCUUUAGCCGAUGAUUAUAAUGACUGUAGUCGGAAAAUAAGCCCCGGCUAACUUCGUGCCAGCAGCCGCGGUAAUACGAAGGGGGCGAGCGUUAUUCGGAAUCACUGGGCGUAAAGCGUGCGUAGGCGGUUUUGUAAGUUAGGAGUGAAAGCCCAGGGCUCAACCUUGGAAUUGCUCUUAAAACUGCAAGGCUCGAAUCUCGGAGAGGAUAGCGGAAUUUCCAGUGUAGCAGUGAAAUGCGUAGAUAUUGGAAGGAACACCAGUGGCGUAAGCGGCUAUCUGGACGAGUAUCGACGCUGAGGCACGAAAGCGUGGGGAUCAAACAGGAUUAGAAACCCGGGUAGUCC